rnacentral:rRNA from 1 species
UAUGUGAUCGUCUCUCGCAUAUCAAUAAGCGGAGGAAAAGAAACUAACAAGAAUUCCCCUAGUAACGGCGAGUGAAGCGGGAAGAGCUCAAAUUUGAAAUCUUAAAGGGUUUCCCUUUACGAAUUGUAGUUUAAAGAAGUGUUUUCUGUUGAGGUUUUGGUAAAAGUUCUUUGGAAUAGGACAUCAUAGAGGGUGAGAAUCCCGUAUUUGACCUUUACUUUCAACUUUGUGUUACACUUUCAAAGAGUCGGAUUGUUUGGGAAUGCAGUCCAAAAUGGGUGGUAAAUUUCAUCUAAAGCUAAAUAUUGGCGAGAGACCGAUAGCGAACAAGUACCGUGAGGGAAAGAUGAAAAGAACUUUGAAAAGAGAGUUAAACAGUACGUGAAAUUGUCAAAAGGGAAGCGUUUGACACCAGUGUUGUUUUUCUGAAAAUCAAUUAAAGAACUGUUUAUGCUAAGUUGUUUAGACUUUAUCAGCUAUCUGUUUAGUUUUGAGCUUUUCUUUAAUGCACUUUUCAGUUAACAAGUCAACAUCAAUUUCUUUUGCUGUAAAAAAGCUUGAGGAAGGUGGCUUGAGAUUCGUCUUAAGUGUUUAUAGCCUCUUGCCUAUGCAGUCGGAGAGAUUGAGGUCUGCAGCGUAGAUCCUUCGGGGCUAAAUGCAUUUGUGCUAAGUUAUAGCAUUUUAUAGACAACUUGUUGACUAUGAUUUGUCUUGUAGCUUACUCGCUUAUGUUAUUUUACCUACGCUUAGGAUGUUGAUCUACAGAGCGAGAGU